rnacentral:tRNA from 1 species
GUGCUAUUAGCUCAGUAGGUAGAGCACUGGACUUUUAAUCCAGGUGUCGAGGGUUCGAAUCCCUCAUGGCACA